UGGGGAAUAUUGCACAAUGGGCGCAAGCCUGAUGCAGCCAUGCCGCGUGUGUGAAGAAGGCCUUCGGGUUGUAAAGCACUUUCAGCGAGGAGGAAGGUGGUGAACUUAAUACGUUCAUCAAUUGACGUUACUCGCAGAAGAAGCACCGGCUAACUCCGUGCCAGCAGCCGCGGUAAUACGGAGGGUGCAAGCGUUAAUCGGAAUUACUGGGCGUAAAGCGCACGCAGGCGGUUUGUUAAGUCAGAUGUGAAAAUCCCCGGGCUCAACCUGGGAACUGCAUUUGAAACUGGCAAGCUAGAGUCUCGUAGAGGGGGGUAGAAUUCCAGGUGUAGCGGUGAAAUGCGUAGAGAUCUGGAGGAAUACCGGUGGCGAAGGCGGCCCCCCUGGACGAAGACUUGACGCUCAGGUGCGAAAAGCGUGGGGAGCAAACAGGAUUAGAUA
rnacentral:rRNA from 1 species